rfam:Gossypium hirsutum cultivar TM-1 chromosome 26, whole genome shotgun sequence
UAUUAAAAAUUUCAUCCAUCUAUUGUUAAAAACUGGUGUGAAUAAUUACAUGUAACGUGUUUCAUGUACCUUGUGCUGGCAUAUAAUGACCAAUUUUUAGCAAUAGAAUUAAAUAGAAUUUUUAACA